GAUGAACGCUGGCGGCGUGCCUAAUACAUGCAAGUCGAGCGAACAGACGAGGAGCUUGCUCCUCUGACGUUAGCGGCGGACGGGUGAGUAACACGUGGAUAACCUACCUAUAAGACUGGGAUAACUUCGGGAAACCGGAGCUAAUACCGGAUAAUAUAUUGAACCGCAUGGUUCAAUAGUGAAAGACGGUUUUGCUGUCACUUAUAGAUGGAUCCGCGCCGCAUUAGCUAGUUGGUAAGGUAACGGCUUACCAAGGCAACGAUGCGUAGCCGACCUGAGAGGGUGAUCGGCCACACUGGAACUGAGACACGGUCCAGACUCCUACGGGAGGCAGCAGUAGGGAAUCUUCCGCAAUGGGCGAAAGCCUGACGGAGCAACGCCGCGUGAGUGAAGAAGGUCUUCGGAUCGUAAAACUCUGUUAUUAGGGAAGAAAAAAUGUGUAAGUAACUAUGCACGUCUUGACGGUACCUAAUCAGAAAGCCACGGCUAACUACGUG
rnacentral:rRNA from 1 species